rnacentral:rRNA from 1 species
AGUGAACGCUGGCGGUAGGCCUAACACAUGCAAGUCGAACGGCAGCACAGUAAGAGCUUGCUCUUACGGGUGGCGAGUGGCGGACGGGUGAGGAAUACAUCGGAAUCUACUUUUUCGUGGGGGAUAACGUAGGGAAACUUACGCUAAUACCGCAUACGACCUACGGGUGAAAGCAGGGGAUCUCGGACCUUGCGCGAUUGAAUGAGCCGAUGUCGGAUUAGCUAGUUGGCGGGGUAAAGGCCCACCAAGGCGUCGAUCCGUAGCUGGUCUGAGAGGAUGAUCAGCCACACUGGAACUGAGACACGGUCCAGACUCCUACGGGAGGCAGCAGUGGGGAAUAUUGGACAAUGGGCGCAAGCCUGAUCCAGCCAUACCGCGUGGGUGAAGAAGGCCUUCGGGUUGUAAAGCCCUUUUGUUGGGAAAGAAAAGCAGCAGGUUAAUACCCCGCUGUUCUGACGGUACCCAAAGAAUAAGCACCGGCUAACUUCGUG